AAUGAGCGUUGGCGGCGCGCCUAAUACAUGCAAGUCGAGCGAGAAGACGUAGCAAUACGUUUGUAAAGCGGCGAACGGGUGAGGAAUACAUGGGUAACCUACCCUCGAGUGGGGAAUAACUAGCCGAAAGGUUAGCUAAUACCGCGUACGCUUCUUGGACUUCGGUUCAGGGAGGAAAGCGAUGCCGAGGGUAUCGCGCUCUUGGGAUGGGCUCAUGUCCUAUCAGCUUGUUGGNGAGGUAACGGCUCACCAAGGCUUCGACGGGUAGCUGGUCUGAGAGGACGAUCAGCCACACUGGCACUGCGACACGGGCCAGACUCCUACGGGAGGCAGCAGUAAGGAAUAUUGCGCAAUGGGCGAAAGCCUGACGCAGCGACGCCGCGUGGGGG
rnacentral:rRNA from 1 species